GGCAACUCCCUGUAGUACAGCGGCGCACGGGUGAGUAACACGUGGGUAAUCUGCCCUGGAGUGGGGAAUAACACCGGGAAACCGGUGCUAAUACCGCAUACGAUCACGAGGUCUGCGGACUUUGUGAUGAAAGGAGCAAUUCGCUCCAGGAGGAGCCCGUGGCUGAUUAACUAGUUGGUGAGGUAAUGGCUCACCAAGGCUACGAUCAGUAUCCGGUCUGAGAGGACGGUCGGACACACUGGAACUGAAACACGGUCCAAACUCCUACGGGAGGCAGCAGUGGGGAAUUUUUGGCAAUGGGGGCAACCCUGACCAAGCAACGUCUCGUGGGUGAUGAAGUCUCUUGGGACGUAAA
rnacentral:rRNA from 1 species